GGAACCCGAAUUCAUUCUGACCUUGUCUCACAAAAUCCAUUAUAUCUCAUGAUUUACAAUUUCAUUGCUUACACCGUUUCUUUUAUAAGAAACUAGACUCAAUAAGCUUUAAUUUCAUAUUUUAUUCAUUCUCUAAUUCAAUCUCUACAAUUUUUGGUGAUUUUUCAAAGUUAGACUACUGCUGCUGUCCAAAACUGUUUUAGUGCAAAAUGUUGAUUUCCAUUUUGCCCCAAAUUUCACAGUUUAUACAAUUCAGUCCUUUCUCAAUUAACCCCUCAAUUGAUCUAAUUCUCUCAAUUAAUACUUUACCUAGACAUUAUAAGUUAUUUCACAACUAUUGAAAUUCAGAAUUUCCACAUAUAGCUCUAACUUCAAACUCUUUUACUAUUAGGUCCCAAACAUUCACUUUCUAUUCAAUUCUUUCAAUAAAAUCAGCAUAUGAACAAUUUAAAGCUCUAAUUUCAUGCUAAAUCAUCAUAUACUUCCA
rnacentral:lncRNA from 1 species